rnacentral:rRNA from 1 species
GCUCAGAGUGAACGCUGGCGGCGUGCUUAACACAUGCAAGUCGAACGGUAACAGAAAGAAGCUUGCUUCUUUGCUGACGAGUGGCGCACGGGUGAGUAAUAUAUAGAUAACGUGCCCCUUAGAGAGGGAUAGCCAUUGGAAACGAUGAUUAAUACCUCAUACUCCUUUUUAGCAUAAGUUAAAUUGGGAAAUGUUUUUUCGCUAAGGGAUCGGUCUAUAUCGCAUCAGUUAGUUGGUGGGGUAAUGGCCUACCAAGACUAUGACGCGUAGCGGGUUUGAGAGGAUGAUCCGCCACACUGGUACUGAGACACGGACCAGACUCCUACGGGAGGCAGCAGUGAGGAAUAUUGCACAAUGGGGGAAACCCUGAUGCAGCAACGCCGCGUGGAGGAUGACGCAUUUCGGUGUGUAAACUCCUUUUAUAGGUCAAGAAGAUGACGGUAGCCUAUGAAUAAGCUCCGGCUAACUCCGUGCCAGCAGCCGCGGUAAUACGGGGGGAGCAAGCGUUACUCGGAAUCACUGGGCGUAAAGGACGCGUAGGCGGGCUAAAAAGUCAGAUGUGAAAGCCUAUGGCUUAACCAUAGAACUGCAUUUGAAACUCUUAGUCUAGAGUAUGGGAGGGGCAGAUGGAAUUAGUGGUGUAGGGGUAAAAUCCGUAGAUAUCACUAGGAAUACCGAAAGCGAAGGCGAUCUGCUGGAACAUUACUGACGCUAAGGCGUGAAAGCGUGGGGAGCAAACGGGAUUAGAUACCCCGGUAGUCCACGCCCUAAACGAUGAACACUAGUCGUCGGAUUGCUAGUCAAUUCGGUGAUGCAGUUAACACAUUAAGUGUUCCGCCUGGGGAGUACGGUCGCAAGAUUAAAACUCAAAGGAAUAGACGGGGACC